rnacentral:misc_RNA from 1 species
AGCAACUUGGUAUCCGAUGAU